GAUGAACGCUAGCGGCAGGCCUAACACAUGCAAGUCGAGCGAGACCUUCGGGUCUAGCGGCGGACGGGUUAGUAACGCGUGGGAACGUGCCCUUCUCUGCGGAAUAGCCACUGGAAACGGUGAGUAAUACCGCAUACGCCCUUCCGGGGGAAAGAUUUAUCGGAGAAGGAUCGGCCCGCGUUAGAUUAGAUAGUUGGUGGGUAACGGCCUACCAAGUCUACGAUCUAUAGCUGGUUUUAGAGGAUGAUCAGCAACACUGGGACUGAGACACGGCCCAGACUCCUACGGGAGGCAGCAGUGGGGAAUCUUAGACAAUGGGCGCAAGCCUGAUCUAGCCAUGCCGCGUGUGUGAUGAAGGUCUUAGGAUCGUAAAGCACUUUCGCCAGGGAUGAUAAUGACAGUACCUGGUAAAGAAACCCCGGCUAACUCCGUG
rnacentral:rRNA from 1 species